ensembl:scaRNA
UGCCUCUGUAUCUGAAUUUAAAAUGAAGUGAGAUGCCCUUUCCUCCCCAGUCACAGUCUGAGGCCAAGAUCUGCCCUUGAGGAUCACUGUAAGGGCUGCCACAUGCUGGCAGGCUUGUUUUCCUGCCUCAGACACCU